UAUACGAGUACAAAAUAGACAUCAAUAUUAUUUGUAAAGAAAGUAAAAUAUAUCAAUAAGAAUAAGCAGGAAUCCAAAAAUAACAAAAUUAAAUUGAAUCCAAUCGCGACGCACUUGAAGCUUUACUUGGGGCUCGUAAAAGAAUUGAACAAGUAUAAAUCGCAUCUAUGAAUACUUCCGUUCUCUAUUAUCUAUUCAUUAAAUUUGCUCAUAUUCACAUCCACGCGCAUCCAAAAUCUGCGCGAAGUCAGUGUGGAGUCUGAGUUACAAACUAAACUCGACGACAGUCCGCCAGAUGUGACCGUUUGUCGGUGGCCUUCAAUAAGCUUGUGAGUUUGUGUUGCAGUUUAUGGCGUGUAGUCCUUCAGCGGAUGCACUUCACCCAUUGCACACACACACCUCAGCCCUCAUCUCAAAAUGGUUUGGAGAGCAACUGUGCUUUGUUCUAAAUGAUAAAUGAUGGCGCACAGGAAAGCAGACUGAAGGAGCUCGCAAAAUGAAGCUGAACUGUGAAUAAAGUGAAAUUGAUAGACUUUGUCGCUGCAUUCACCACGUCGGUGGAGUGCCUCAAGAUGAUACGUAUCCAUACAUUCAUGCAAAAUGUAUAUGUGCUCGCUAGAGCUGGCUUUAAUAAACCAUCAACUUCGUAUCGAUCGAAACACAUGUUUGGACUGAACAUUUUUCUGGCGCAAUGGUUCGUCGUAGGGUGGUCCGAAAUUUUGCAAAAUUAUUUUUGUGACUGCCUAAAUGUGCAUAUACAUAUGUAUAGCCAAGGUGCUAAUCUUCAAUUUAAUAUCAGUCUGUUGAAUGGUGAAUGGAGCGGGCAAUAUCAAGUGCAAAAUCACAAAAGGCCUCAAUAUGUCGUGCGUAAUAAGUAACGAUGAUUGUCGUACACCGCUGGCAACUAUACACUACUCACUACUUCUAAAGAACUCUGAUGCGCGGGUUUUUAUGUUUGUAAGAAUUAAUGUAUGUUUAUGGUAAUCUGCCCAACUAUGUGUUUGCCGCCAGUGUUCCUGUAUGUACGGAGGCGGCUUUGCAACUGCCUCCAUUCGCCUCUCUUGUAUAUAGGAAGGACAUUAACCCGUGCGGUUGCUGCUGCAGCUAUGCAAAUCCAUUCGGUUAUGCAAACGCCGGGUAACCAAUUGCAUACAUCGCUUUUCAUUUUAUCCACUAGUCUCUGUCUCGCAGGAUUUUAGCGCAGUCACGUCGCCUACUCACUCACUGCUUUCCCUAUUCACGCCACAGCACACUUCCCGUUAAACCCAAGCAAUUGCGAAUUCUGGCAGCCACAUAUUUACUUUGCGUAUGCCGAUGAGUUGCUGAUGCAGCACGUGAGCCCGACUCGAAGCAGGAUGGAGCCAGGGGCUGUGAGUAGACGCCAGGCCCUGCGAGCGCGCCAUUGCAGUUGAUAUCGCGGGCCUGGGCUGCGCAUAUUGCAAGUACUUUGCGAUGAGUUGCUGACUACAAAUGAUAAGGAAGCCAUUUAGACAGUCUGGCUGACAGCCAAAGAGAUGGGCUGCUACAACUACUUAGCCAGGUGUGGCGCUUGCUGUUGUGAAGUUACGGGGUUUGUUAUUGAGGUGACAAAACUCUUGAAUGCAGGCAAAUGGAGUUGCCGUAUAUGAAUGAUCACCCCCAAUACUAUAAGAAGGCUUUGGUGAUGACACUUCGUCUUUGCUAGGACAUUUGUGGUUAAAAAUAUGGCGACGGUAUCAAGAGACGGGCUUUAAGCGAUAGAAAUAACAAGAGUAGAAGUGUUUAUAAGCCUCUAUUUGGCUGCCCUUAUAACUUUUUUCUUAGGAAGAUAACUAAGGAGACCUGCUGCUUGCUUUCAGCAUCAAAAUACUUAACAGUUUAUCCACAUUAAUAACUGUACUUGUACGAACAGUCCAUGCUGAAGCCAAAGCACAGGCCUGAGGCAACAUUUUUCAACGAAUAAAGGAGCAGGGAUGACUGAUCGUAAUUUGUAGUAAGUUCUGUGAAGUUAUACUCUCGGCAAGAACUCCGGCGAUCACAAGAAAGAACUGUUUAAAUCCGUUUAUACGACCUUUUAGCAAUCCAAUUGAAUGUGGCUUUAUUUUUAUUUGUAACUCGUACAAAAGCACGCUUCAUUUUCGUAUAGUGACCACACGGAGCCGACUACGCAACUGCUAGUGGAUGUAUUCAAUUCAGAAAUGAGGUCAAGGAUAUCAUCCUUUGCGGCAGCCUUCACUGCACUGUUAACUCAGCGAUGAACACCUGAACAUUUACUUUCGGGCAUCUGAUACAAUUUUCGAAUUAUACAUAGCGACAGCUGAGGCACAACGGGAGCUCACAGUUUGCUGGCCGCCCACCACGUGUAUGUGUCGGAGCUCUUCGGGUGAGCUUUGCAUGUGUGUGUGAGCGACCACUUAAUCAUUCUUGCCACAUGGACUCCAUUGAAACUGAUGAUAUUGAACAAAUAUUAAAAAGGUAAGACAACUUUAGCACAAUAGCUGGCCUUGCUGCUGGCCCUGAGUGGAGGGUGGGGCCCAUAGUUGAGUGCCAGUACGGAAACGCCUUUGCAGUGAAUGUUGUAAAGAACUUUCGCUUGGCACUGGUUUUUCUGUAUUGCAGCGCUGCCAUACCGGUCUCUUCAGGUCUUCGCUGAUGGGUGCCAUUGAGAUUUAAUGAGAGUUUCAAGUGUGAAAAGAAACAGAUUAAUGCUCCCGUUAGAAAGAAGUGGAAUGGCGUGCAAUGUGGUCGCCUUUAAAGCGCUUUUAAAGCCAUCAAACAUCGAAUGUUUCACAAGGUCGCUCACACUCAUUGAACUAAGGGCAGGCGAACGCAGGAAGGAAAAGUGUACGCAAUAUAAAAUGGCUUCAGCAUGGAUGUGCAUGAUAUUUCGGUUGGAGAGCGCCUCUUCUAUAGUAGAAUUAGGGACGUGUCUAUUUGGGCCAGCUUAAACUGUCAUUUGCUAAUAAAUUUUAUUUUAAUUCUAAAUUAUUACGGAAACGUUGCAAGUAUGCAUAAUAUUUAUCAUUUAUUUGUUGCAUGUGCAACAUUGGCAAUCAAAACCAAUUCAAUUAAGGUGUUUGCGUCGUAGCAGGUUGUCACAUUGCUGGACGAGCCCAAGGAGUCGCUAAUAGAUAGAUACUUAGAUUAAAUAUUAGACUCUGUUUAAUUGACGUAUGUAGGGACAUGUAAAUAGGCGAGGGCUUACCUGUCCAUGGCAAAGUGUUUGGGUAUUUACUUUACUUCGGAGAAAUCGCUGGAGCGUAAAUUGAAUCAGAAUUCCAUAAAUUUAACUUUUGAUUAUUAAAUAUACAUGCAAGUAAGAAAGCACUGUAUUGCUUUGCUAGGGGAAGGAAGGACUGCUCGGCUCAUUCAAUAUUUAUGUGUCAAAUUGGAUAUUACUCAUACGCACCGGUAUACAAAUGCAAUUCUGCCGUGCGAAGCAUAUCACCCUGAGUCGAGGCCGUCUUUUGUUGUAUACAUUCGUCGCUACGUUCGACGAGGACAAUUUGAGUGUGUUGGUAGAAGUUGCAUCGCAUUAAGCAAUUAAUUCUGUUGUUAUUCAUCUGAUGUCUGCCUUUGUGAGCAUGCAAGUUAUGUUGAGUGACAGUUGUCAAUUCCUACAGUGCGUCCUGGUGAAUGUCUUCCCACACGCUUUCAAGGAGACUAGCACUUCCACAUCGAAGGCAGAACACACGUGUGGAUGUAUGUUUUAUGUGUAGGCAAGAUAGCUCAGAAGAAAUCAAACUUCUAACCACAACCUCACAGCCUUCCUUAAAAAUAAAGUUCUCGAACCGACUUUCGGUUGUAUGAUGCCAAAAUGCCAGUCUACAUUCGAAUUUUGCAUCGGAAAGAGUUGUUCAGCCCAACUCAAAACUAUUCCCUAACGGGUUUCCGCCUACAACUCUCUAUGUACGCAGUUAUUUUACUGGUUAGUCAGUUGCAUUUGUGUUUAUUUUGGCCUGAUUGUUUUUAAAUAUAUUAUUAGUUUUGCAUUUUCUUUGAGCUCCGAAUAAACAAUUGCUUCCGAGCGAUUCAACAAAAUUUGCUCGAGCUGCUCGUUGAAGAACAAAGCGAGUUUAAUUCACACACAGCUCUCUAAUACACACACUUGCAAUAUUCAACAUUUUGGGUAUUGAGUUCAAGGACGAUAUUGAAAUGAAACUCUUUGUGCUGCAGGCCUCUCUGUUUCGUUGGUACUUCGGCUGCAUACAGGUUGCACAUAGCAAUAUGUAGCUAUUAAUCAAUACAUGCAUAUUUCAUGUUUGAAUUAUGGUCUCUCUGAAUAAUAAUUCAACUAGGCAACAAAUAAAUAAAUAAAAGAUUCGUCCAACUAAGACCGCAAUUCCAGCAAAUAGUUCUAGUGAAAUGAAUUAAAUAUUCCAACUGAUUUCCCGCCGAUAUACAUACUCAGAUAUUAGCUUACAUUGUUAGGAAUUGGGGUCAACUUAGGACAGCCG